CAGGCCUAACACAUGCAAGUCGAACGCUCGUCUUCGGACGGGAGUGGCAGACGGGUGAGUAACACGUGGGAACGUACCCUUCGAUCUGGGAUAACUCUUGGAAACGGGAGCUAAUACCGGAUACGCCCUUUUUGGGGAAAGGUUUACUGUCGAGGGAUCGGCCCGCGUCUGAUUAGCUAGUUGGUGGGGUAACGGCCUACCAAGGCGACGAUCAGUAGCUGGUCUGAGAGGAUGAUCAGCCACACUGGGACUGAGACACGGCCCAGACUCCUACGGGAGGCAGCAGUGGGGAAUAUUGGACAAUGGGCGCAAGCCUGAUCCAGCCAUGCCGCGUGUGUGAUGAAGGCCUUAGGGUUGUAAAGCACUUUUAUCCGGGACGAUAAUGACGGUACCGGAGGAAUAAGCCCCGGCUAACUUCGUGCCAGCAGCCGCGGUAAU
rnacentral:rRNA from 1 species